rnacentral:rRNA from 2 species
GUCUCUUUGUUAUUGUUUAUAUGAAGAGUUGGGCCUGCUCGGUGAAAUUUUUUAACAGCUGCGGUAUUUUAACUGUACUAAGGUAGCAUAAUAAUUUGCCUUAUAAUUUGAGGCUGGAAUGAAUGGUUUGACGAAGGUUAAUCUGUCUCUGCUUUAUUUUUUAGAAUUUAAUUUUUAUAGUGAAAAAGCUUGUAUUUUUUUAAGGGACGAGAAGACCCUAUUGAGCUUAUAAUUUUAUUAUUGUUGUGGUAAUUAUUACCAUAAUAUUAUAUAAAUUUUAAUUGGGGUGAUUAAGGAAUAAUAUUAUAGUUAUUAACUUCCUUAGCUAUUAAUUAUAUUGUUGAAUAAAGUAACCAAUUAUUUAUUGCUUUUAUAAUAGUUACCAUAGGGAUAACAGCGUAAUUUAUUUAGAGAGUUCUUAUUGAAAAAUGAGAUUGCGACCUCGAUGUUGGAUUAAAGUUACCUUAAGGUGUAGAAGCUUUAUUAGGUAAAUCUGUUCGAUUUUUAAAACUUUACA